AGCUCCAAUAGCGUAUAUUAAAGUUGUUGCGGUUAAAAAGCUCGUAGUUGGAUUUCUGUUGAGGUUGGGCGGUCCGCACUUCGUGCGUGUAUCUGUUUUGACCUUGGCAUCCUUUCAAGAAACGUUGCUGUGCUUAAUUGCAUGGUGCGGAGCUUGAAACUUUUACUUUGAGGAAAUUAGAGUGUUCACGGCAGGCUAUCGCCUUGAAUAUAUUAGCAUGGAAUAAUAACAUAGGAUCUUGGGUCUAUUUUGUUGGUUUCUAGAGCUGAGAUAAUGAUUAAUAGGGACAAUUGGGGGCAUUCGUAUUAACACGUCAGAGGUGGAAUUCUUGGAUUGUGUUACGACGAACUACUGCGAAAGCAUCUGCCAAGGGUGUUUUCA
rnacentral:rRNA from 1 species